rnacentral:rRNA from 1 species
UUUCGCCUACGGGGGGCAGCAGUGGGGAAUAUUGCACAAUGGGGGAAACCCUGAUGCAGCGACGCCGCGUGAGUGAAGAAGUAUUUCGGUAUGUAAAGCUCUAUCAGCAGGGAAGAUAAUGACGGUACCUGACUAAGAAGCUCCGGCUAAAUACGUGCCAGCAGCCGCGGUAAUACGUAUGGAGCAAGCGUUAUCCGGAUUUACUGGGUGUAAAGGGAGCGUAGGUGGCAAGGCAAGUCAGAUGUGAAAACCCGGGGCCCAACCCCGGGAGUGCAUUUGAAACUGUCUGGCUAGAGUGCAGGAGG